UUACUGAAAGGAAAUAGUAUCAUCAUGUUUAUAGGAAGAUGAAUAUCGCCAAACACUGAUAAUUACUGAACAAAAAUAAAACAGAAAGGUGUGAAAUCGAAGAGGAUUGGCCAAUUAAAGGCAAUGUUUGGUUUUCAAUGUUUGAUCAGCUGAACAAAGGCAACUUCAUUCGUUCAUUCCAACCAAAGAGCAACUAGUUUAAAUUAAAGUCAGAUGUUUAACAAUUAUGAACUUAAUAACUUAGCCAUAUAAACGGGUUAAUUGUCAGUCACUAAAAUUGUGAAAAUCACCGUCAACAAGUAACUUGGAAGAAUUGAAGUUUAGUCAAAGAUGAAAGAUCAGUAAAACCCGUUGUAUGUUAACCUUUUGAUUUACUCUGUUUUACUCUAUAAAAUACCCAAUGGAAUCUGAUUUAAAUCAAUUGGUUAAAUCAAGAUUUAAAUUUAAUUUCACAGUGAUUUUGAUUCAAAUUGGCAGCCACACCUAAUGAAAAAUUGGUAACCAAAGGUUACCCCUUAUUUGAUAGACUAUUCAAGUUUACAUAAAGAUUGGUUACACUGGAAAAGAGUCCCGCUAGAAUCAACCUUUUCAUGUUUGUGUUUCAUUUACUAUUUUAAAUUUGUGUUUUUACUAAAGCUAAGUUAAUUGCCGAUUUAUUUAAAUUGUGUUUUCUCUAUCCGAUUAUUGUUUGGUUUCUUAAACUUUAUCAACAUGAGAAAUAAUUCAACAGUCUUAAUCUUGAGAGACAUCAACAUGAACAAUGAUAUGGAAACUUUUUUUCUGCAACUCAUUAUUGUUGAUACUUGUUACACAGUUUUUUUGUAUGUUCUACCUUAAGUAAAUAUGGCAUAAAGCAAUACCAGAAGUGACCAUCAAGGAUUGGAUUGGUAAUCAAAACCCAAGGAGAAAAGAAGAAAGUCAUUCCAUAUGAUGGCACGGCAUUGUGAGGUGAAGAGGAAAAUGAUGAAGCUGAUGAAGAUGGAGUAAGGUUGAAAUCAAUCAAAGAGUGUAUAUAAUACGUUAUUAUAGUCUGAAAAAUGCGUCUCCUUUAUAAGCUAAUUUGUUAUUGGAAAAACAAAAGGCACCCAGCAAUGUAAAAAAAGAAGGAUAAAAGCUGAUGAUAAAGAGAGGCCUAACCUUUAUUAUAUAACUCCGCUCUUCUUAUGGGUUUCCCAAAUUUUACUUGAUAUACAUCCUCUUUUUACGACAAAAUGUUUCUAGAUCCACACAGGUUGAAUGGACCUUCUGACAAUAGAUUUACCUUCUCGUUCUCUCAAUCACACUCAUCUUAACCAUCAACAGCUUUUUAAGAAAAGACCGUAUUCGACCCCAUGUUUCUCCCUUAUUUGUGAAUGAUGCGAGCUAAGACAUUGAGGUCAGGUCGUCAAACGAUUUCCGGCCAUGUCCUUUUAAACAGGAGGAAACAGCAGCACCACUUCACCUCCCUUUUUUACCUUUUUUUGUACUUAGGCAGUCUUCAUCGGACCAAGACGAUCAUCUGUUUAGCUGACAAAAACAUUUGUGAGAAAAAACUAAAGUCAUAAGUAAGCUACCAAGAAAGGGAAAGAGGGAGGACGAAUAAGAUGAGGAUUGCUUCUUACCUGAUCUUUAAUUUUCAAAUGGUUAAUUUUCAAAUUUUACCUGAUUUGCUUAACGUAGGAGUAUCAAGUUGAACAACGUGCGAACGAAAGGAAAAAAGACAUUACCAUCAUCAUCCACUUUACAGGACGCCCAAAGAAUCUCAUUAUAACUGUUAAUUUGAUUGGAAAGCUACUCAUCAUUGAAAUUAAAUAUUAUUCAACGGAUGAUUGGGCCUCCACUCUUACACACUUUUUUUUCAUCAACUUGCUCAAUACAAUCAAUUUACAUUAAGAUUUUUUUCUGCCUCCUUCAUCAAAUCAAUUUAAAUUUUUCACCUACACAUUUUCAUCAACUAAUACAAUAGAACUCCAAGUUCAAAGUCAUGGAAAAAGCGCGCAUUUGGAUUUUUCUGUAAUAAUUGUUGAGAAAAUAGUCAAUUAUAAUUGUACAACAUUUGAUGAAAUAUUUUAUGUACAGGUAUUUACAGUAAUUUAUGUACAUGUUUUAUUGCAUCAAGACCUGGUAAAUACAUUAUUUUGGAGGCACUUUUUGGCACUGUUUUCCACAUUUUGCCGAAUAG